UAAGUUAAGAAUAUUAACACUAUUGACGACUACUCCUUACACACCAUUUUGCCACUGAUACUUUCGUCGCGAAACCAUCACUUCGGCCACUUCUGCCGCCAUUGCACAUUCCGAUAUAAUCCACCGUCGCCGAAACUCCUGAAGCUCCGGCGACUCCGAUGAAUCUUCUCUUGUGAACGCCAAAUCACUCCAUCGAACAAGAAAUGGAAUCUAGCUCCGGCAGCAAUCACCGCGAUUUGGCUGAGGAAAGCGAGAGAAGCAUCGCCGCAGUUCAUGAUCAACCAGAGCCCCGCACCACCGGCGGCGGUGACGACGACGAUCCACUCGAGAGAAGCUCCGAGGUUUUGGCGAAGGGAUUGUCAUCGAUGCUCUCGUCCGUCAUCAAGGACUUUGAUUUCAGAGCACGAGAAACUCUUGGCAGCCAGGACCAGCUCUCCUCCGCCAUCGAUCGUCUCACUCGAGAACUUGAUCAAUUACUUGAAGAUGCACCUUUACCGUUCAUAAUGCAACAUGCUGCUAAGAUUUCUAGUGUUAGGAAGAGAGUUUCAUCACUGAAUUUACUUCUAAAAUCCAUACAAGGGCGGAUUGAUAACAUAGACCGCAUAAUGUCAAUUGGCACCACUCAUGAGAAGACAACCCCUGAAGGUUCUGAGUGAAACGUCAACAUCUGGAUCAACUUCAAUUGUCUCCAAUCUCCAAACGUGUACUUUUUAUGAUCAAGACUUCUAAAGGGAGUUGAAGCGGUCAUUGAUCCAUUAUAUGGAUGAGGAUGGCUUGUUUCGGGAUCGUAACUCCCUUCAUGCCUAGAGCAACACGGUAUGACCCUAACUCCCUGUUAGUUAAAUCUGGCACAAUCUAAAUUCUAAAAUAAAGAAAGAGUUAUAAUUCAUUUACUAAUGAAAUCUGUGUUAAAUUGAAUUGCGAUAACUUUAAACUAGGCUUCCUUGAGAUCUAGCUCUCUUUGCUGGAAGGAUAAUCUUUGAUUCAGUCACUCUCACUUAAAAAUCUCAAACUCAAGUAUAUAAUUGGAUGACCAUAU